UCCCUGUUACCAGGGCAGUCUAGCUAGAAAAAUACAACUAACUAUAAGGGUUGCGCUCGUUAAAGGACUUAACCUAACAUCUCACGACACGAGCUGACGACGGCCAUGCAACACCUGUCACUUGGCUCAAUAAAGCACUUUUUCCUUUCGGAGAAAUUCCAAGGAUGUCAAACCCUGGUAAGGUUCAUCGGUUAUCAUCGAAUUAAAGAACAUAAUCCGCCGCUUGUGCGGCUCCCCGUCAAUUCCUUUAUGUUUUAGUCUUGCGACCGUACUCCACAGGCGGGAUACUUAACGCGUUAGCUUCGCUACUGAAGGGGUCGAUACCUCCAACAGCUAGUAUCCAUCGUUUACGGCGUGGACUAC
rnacentral:misc_RNA from 1 species